rfam:Schistosoma rodhaini strain Burundi genome assembly, scaffold: SROB_scaffold0003550
GCACUGCUGAGGGAUCCCAUAAUAGGAUGAAACGACCGUCCAGUGC